GACGAACCGUGCAAACGUUGUUCGGAUUCACUGGGCUUAAAGGGCGCGUAGGCGGGUGCUCAAGUCUGUGGUGAAAUCCUCCGGCUCAACCGGAGAACUGCCAUGGAUACUGGGUGCCUCGAGGGUGGUAGGGGUAUGCGGAACUAUCGGUGGAGCGGUGAAAUGCGUUGAUAUCGAUAGGAACUCCGGUGGCGAAGGCGGCAUACUGGACCACUUCUGACGCUGAGGCGCGAAAGCCAGGGGAGCGAACAGG
rnacentral:rRNA from 1 species